CAACUAGUCCCUCUGUCCCAAAUUUCUUGUCUUAGAUUUGUCUAGAUACGGAUGUAUCUAAUACUAAAAUGUGACUUGAUACAUCCGUAUCUAGACAAAUCUAAGACACGAAUUUUGGGACGGAGGGAGUACUUU
rnacentral:pre_miRNA from 1 species